CACACACACACACACACACACUCUCCCUCUCUCAGAUACAACGCGAUCCUCUCUCGGUAACGGGACUCCCCGUGCGCCCGGACGCGUCCGAAGGAUGAGCGUCGGAGAAUAAAGACGGAAUGCAAAUGGCAGUGGCACAGGCAAUCCGCUUGCUGGAGGGAGGGACGGAGAUGAACGGCGGAACGCACCCUGCCCGGUGUCCUACUCAAGUAGCUGUUUGCCAGUGCUUGGCUGUGAAUCCAUUCCUUAAGGAGGAACAUAGGGUUCCUCUUUUCCAGAUCAGUACACCAGGCCUGAUCUAAACUCCGCUGCGGAGGUGGAAAAAACCCCCCAGAAAGAAUGAGACAGGAAGGGAAAAGGAUGCACCUCAUGGGAAAAAGAAGAGAGGCUAAGUUCACGGUCUUUAUCCCCGCCCACCUCGUCUCCAUCCUCUCUGCCCUGCUAAGAGCUGCAAACAACAACAGAGCCAACAACAAGGAGAGCCUUGCUUCCUGCAGCAGCAACUCGGAGGGAGACCCAGAUGCUCCUCGGUGCGAGAGAGAUACGCUAAAACUUGACACUCAACAUAUGAAUUUCAGCUGUAACUAUCAUUGAUGCUAUGUGUUACCUUAAGACCUAAAUCGUGAAAUAAAGAAAA